rnacentral:rRNA from 1 species
UUCGAAGCGGUUAGUGGCGGACUGGUGAGUAACACGUAAGCAACCUACCUAUUAGAGGGGAAUAACAGUGAGAAAUCACUGCUAAAACCGCAUAUGCCGUGAAUAUCGCAUGAUAAAAACGGGAAAAGAGCAAUCUGCUAAUAGAUGGGCUUGCGUCUGAUUAGCUAGUUGGUGUGGUAAAGGCAUACCAAGGCAACGAUCAGUAGCCGGACUGAGAGGUUGAACGGCCACAUUGGGACUGAGAUACGGCCCAGACUCCUACGGGAGGCAGCAGUCGGGAAUAUUGCGCAAUGGAGGAAACUCUGACGCAGUGACGCCGCGUAUGGGAAGAAGGUUUUCGGAUUGUAAACCAUUUUAGACAAGGAAGAAACAAGACAGUACUUGUAGAAUAAGCUCCGGCUAACUACGUGCCAGCAGCCGCGGUAAUACGUAGGGAGCAAGCGUUAUCCGGAUUUAUUGGGUGUAAAGGGUGCGUAGACGGGAAGGUAAGUUAGUUGUGAAAUCCCUCGGCUCAACUGAGGAACUGCGACUAAAACUGCUUUUCUUGAGUGCUGGAGAGGAAAGUGGAAUUCCUAGUGUAGCGGUGAAAUGCGUAGAUAUUAGGAGGAACACCAGUGGCGAAGGCGACUUUCUGGACAGCAACUGAC